rnacentral:rRNA from 1 species
ACUUUGAAGAGAGAGUUCAAAAGGACGUGAAACCGCUUAGAAUAAAGCGGACGGAGCCGUCAGUGGCCUUCUGGAAUCAGUCGUAUGACGCGCGAUAACGCGUUUAGCCAGAGCGAAAGUCUGGUGGGCGUGUUAGGAAAUAGUAGCGUUCAUUCGAUGCAUUUCCGGGGGGUAUGCGCCACGACCGAUGCGAAAGGCUAGUGAAUCUGGCGAGUUGAGGUGGAAACCCUUCGCGGGGUCUUCAGUACCAGCUCGUCGGCAUAUAGUCGCUAGACCGCAGUAUGCAUCGAGCGCUGAAUUAUAUAGAACACUGGCAAAAAUGCUCGUUUAAGCGAUGGAAAGUCGAUGGAAUAGGCCGUACCUGCUCGCAGGUUAGGUCCGUUCGCCUUUCGGCGUUUGAAGUCGCGGGCGAGUUCUGUGUUCUGGCGUCAGUGGCGUCCGAGACGGUCAACCGUCCGACCCGUCUUGAAACACGGACCAAGGAGUCUAACGUAUGCGCGAGCUAAUGAGUGGAAAACUCAUAAGCGCAAUAAAAGUGAAAGCCGUUUCGGACGGUGCAGGGUACGAUCCCUGGGUAUUUAUUUACCCUCGGCGCAGUACCGUCCCAUCCUGAUCGCUCGUCGGUAGGGUGGAGACUGAGUGUAUACGUUGGGACCCGAAAGAUGGUGAACUAUGCCUGAGCAGAGCGAAGCCAGAGGAAACUCUGGUGGAGGUUCGUAGCGGUUCUGACGUGCAAAUCGAUCGUCAGACUUGGGUA